UCAAACCCGCAUCCUCAUGGCUACUAGCAGGACUCAUUUCCACUGAGCCACGACGGGAACUUCAGUAAAUUAACAAGAGUAAAUUAACAGAGUUUGCAAGUGAUCAAGCUGUGUGAUCUAGAGCCAGCCUGUUUAUCCUCUGCUUGUCUCCAGACUCAUCUGUAAAAUGGGACCGAAUGACCAACUCUCAGUGUUGCUAUGAGAAUUCAGAGUGAUAGCUGUGCCCCCAAACUGUUCUUCCCCCUCCCUUCCACCCACUUGAAAGACAGAGGUGCCCACAUCAGCUCACGCUCCCCCCUUGCCAGGUAGGUAGAAAAGUCCCUGAGAUGGAGGUGAAGACAUGCUCUGAAUUCAGUGACAUAUGUCCUCAUACAAGGGAUGUGUUAUUAUUAUUAUUAUUAUUGUUACUGAUUUGAAAGGCACUGAUUUAAAUAAUUGAGCCAUAUUGAGCUCUGGCUCAGAACAAAAAGAGUGAAACACGUCUGCCAGAAAAAGACCCCACACCAAGAGCUCCCCAUGGCGCCAGAUUCCAAAGCCCUGACUCCAUUGGUCACAUUCUCAAGGUGUUUUUCCACCUCCAGUGGCGGCUUUGGGAGCAGAAGGCCCAGGCCCGCCUGUCCAGGCUGGCCUCUCCCCUCUGCCCCUUUGAAGUGCCCAGCAUGGGGUGAGCUGGAAGGAAACCCUGGGCUGCCGAGGCCCCGACUGUGGCGGCACCUACCCGCCCCCACCCGGCCACCUCCCCCUCAUUGUGCAGCCUGACUGGGCCUUUGUUGCCAGGAGCCCGGGGAAGGGGACAGCCAGGGACCUGGGCUCAUUAUGUGGCUGACCCCAGGCCAGCCCCCUCCCCCCCAGGGUGGAAGGUUAACGUGGCUGCCCGCCACGCAGGCCUGGGCCUCCGGGAGGCCUCCUUCCAGGGACAAAGGACCAGCCCCCUUCCUCCUCUCCAGGCCCCCAAACAGCUGCCGGCCUGCAGAGCCCAUUCAGGAGGGGAGCUGAAGGGCCUGGAGGCGUGCAGUCCCAGGCUUUGAUGGCUCAGGAGUCACCAGGGGGCCUCCUUUCCAAACCUCCUUCCUCCCACCCUGCUCGGCAAACAAAGCUCAAGGGAGCUGCCCCGGCCGAUGCAGGAAUGCUGGCAGUCCUGGGGGAGGAGGGCAGCUGGGCCUAAGGUCAGCCCCUCCCCAAAUCAGGAUAGGGUGGACCUGAUGGAUCAGAAGCCUCUCGGUCCUGCCCGCCUGGGCCCUUGGGCCCUUCUGUCACCUGACCUUUGCGAUAAAGUCCAUAUCACCUAGCCAGACAUGGGAUGGGAGCAGGGUAGCUCCCUGAAAGAGGAAAGGCCAGGACACGUGGCAGUAGAGGUGACCAAAGUCCCUCUAGCCUCCAGCAUCCCCUGCCAAAGGCAGGGUUCCUUUCCUUACUACUAACUACCUACCCCAUAGGAUCCUGGUGCCUGUGCCGAGCACCGGGUAGAACCACGCGCUUCCCUUAGAUUCCCCUUACUUGGAGGCCUAUGCCUUGCACCCCCGGACUGACACGCCACACGCCGUUUUUCUGCACACUGCUUUUCAUUUCAAAAGGCCCCAGGGAAGAUUUUUGGAGUGUUUUAUUUGCUUCAGAUCCUACAGCCGACCCGGGGCCUCCCUGGGGGCACGGCGGGACUCGCUCUGGAACCAGAAGCCGGGCCGCCGUCGUGCAGAGGAGUGGGUGCUGUGCGGCGUCAUGCAUUCACGCGCGUCCCUGCAAGCAGGUCCGCCAACCAUCCCCCGGAACCGGCCCUGUGUUUAACUUUCUUUGCCAGUCCUGAUACCCCGUCAGAUUUCUGGCGGUGCCACGCCGCCCGCCUGGGCUCCUUCUGGGCCCUUAUCAGCCUCUCCCAGUCAGCCUGGCCCGGCACAGCUGUUCCAGGCCCUCAGCCCCUCACUUUAUCUGCUCGCACAGACCUCAACCUGGCAAGCGGCGGGCCCGGCGCCUGCUCCACAUUCCCCAGGAAGCCGGCUGGGAACACAGCCGCCCUGCUCCCAGAAUCCUCUGGGAGUUCAUUACCAGCCCGGGUACCCCAGCCCCGCAGCCAAGGUGCGGACCGCGCCGCCCAGCCUCGCCGCCGGCAUCAUUAAAACUCCAACCUUCUGAAGAGAAGAAAGAACAAAACCACAAAUUUAGAUUAAUAAAGCAUUUGUUGAUUC